AAAAUUCACAAAUGCAACCAAAUAUAAAAGGACCGUGUGGUAGGAAACGUACUGACGCGCCAUGAGAGACCAGGAUACGUCACAAAUAAGAGUCACAAACAAAAUGUUUAAAUUAAAAAAAAAAGUUUCGCCACAACGCUACCUAGCGGUCAAAUAUAGAACUGCAUGCAAAAUUCCCUUUUCUUGCCCCAAAACGCGAAAUUUUCUUCGCUUAUUUGUCAGAACGUGAGAAGUUGUAACACAGGUAAUAAAUCAUUUCAUCUGAUGAGUCAACAAUCAACGUUAAGCUAGCUUCGAAAAUUACCAAUGAUUCAUAGUCAGAGUAAACGUGAAAGUCGUGCAACCUACCGUCAACUUUUUUGUUCAAACUCAUUGUAUUCUACUGAAUGUGUCAUCGAAAUAAUUCAGAUCACCAACCCCAGCAUGGAACAAUCUCUCAUUCCAUCUUAUAGAGAAUCUUGGAUAACUGAUUUGUGGUUUCAUGUUUCUAAAUUAGCAUGACUGACUAUAUGAGAAAGUAAGUCCAAGAAAAGGACUUACAGAGUUACAGUCAACAAGAUUUCUUGUUUGCUAACCCAUUGGCUGCUACCCAUGAAUCUCCCUAUUUUUCAACAACAAAAAAAGAGGUUAAAUAUUGUGAUCAUGCUAUCAUCAUUA